CGUGUAGGCGGACUUGUAAGUCGGAUGUGAAAUCACCCAGCUUAACUGGGUAACUGCAUCCGAAACUACAGGUCUUGAGUGCAGAAGAGGAAAGCGGAAUUCCGGGUGUAGCGGUGAAAUGCGUAGAUAUCCGGAGGAACACCAGUGGCGAAGGCGGCUUUCUGGUCUGCUUCUGACGCUGAAACGCGAAAGCUAGGGGAGCAAACG
rnacentral:rRNA from 1 species